rnacentral:lncRNA from 1 species
CUGCCACUGAUGCUGCACCACGUUUGGCUUGGCCUCCUCAGCACCUCUCAAUAUCGGUGUGUGUGUGUGUGUGUUAAACAAUAUGGAGGAGGCUGAAGACACCUCAGCCCCAAGGAGUUGGCACCUAUGUUCUGAGUCCCCACUGAGGUAAAUUACGGUUAAAUGGAAACCCUGAAUGAGGGAUUCUAAAAUAGGCACAUUCACAUAUGAAAGGAAAGGGCUUUGAAUGCAAAUUCUCUUCCUAUGGUACAGAACGUGGAUGGGGCCCUCCAGAUGUUGUUGGAUUCCAGUUCCCAUUAUCCCCCAUAGCCAGCAUAUCCAAUAGUCAGAGAUGAAGGGAGCUAUAAACUGGCAACAUUUGGAAGACCAUAAGUUCCUCACUCUUGCUUUAGAAGUGUGUCAGGGUGUCUCAGUCUAAUUUACCUCACAGAUCUGAUGCGACUAUGGAUGGGCGUGACCAUGUACCCCGAUUUGAACUCAUUGGAGGAAAGGGAGGAUGUUACUGUGAUAAUAAAUAAAAUAAAAUGAAUACAUGGGCCCCUUUCAUUUAAUAAGAAAAUGUCUUCACACUUAAAGAAAAGGGGAAAAAGCUGAAGAAGCAUUAGACUGCUGACCUAUGAGAUGUUUUAAUACCCAUUAAUAUUUCAUCAUUGUUAUGCUGAAGAAAUACUGAGGGAAAAGAUUUUUUUUUUUAGUAAUAAAAAAAGCUCACCAUAUUCUUAUCAUUCUGCCUGUGGGCAUAAUGCUCUAGCAAAAAUCUUUCAUGGGAGAGAUAAUUACAAGACAACGGUAGAGAAAUUUGUGUUAUAGCGUACAUGAAUGCUCUGGUGUGUUGGCCUGUCUGCUCUUGGCAGCACUGGGGUUGACUUGGUUUUCACAAUUACAUUUCCUUCUGGGGAACAGGAAGAGGAGGUGGUGUUCUGUUAAAGUUGCUCAUAUUUUACACCCCUGAACAAGGGGAAUUGAGAACGCUUGAGAAGCUUUCAAACUCAGAUGUUCCCCCACCUCUCUCUAUUCACACAAAUAUUAUACACACAUAUCUGUGUGUGUGGCUCAAAGUACUUUAGAUACUUACACAAUAGACAGAAAAUUGAAAAUUGGUACAUGUGCAAUUCUGCUGCAAAUUUUACCUCAUAAAUAUUGUCCAUCUAAGCUGGACGUGUCACAGGAAAUGGAGGCACUGGAUUUUGCCCUGCACAUAUUUUAACAAUAUUAAGACUGGAGGAGGACAAGAAUGUUUUCUGUGCCAGCAAAGAUCAUUGAUUUAUUGGAAAAUUAUCUCUUCUAUUCAAAGCAUGUGCAGUGCAUACAAAAAAUGAACCACCAACAAGUUAGAUAUAAUUACCUGUCCAUGUCAUUAAGCAAGUGUCUAUACCUGCAAAAUUCCUCAGGGGUGCAUAUUUCCCUCUGACUUCUCAAUGAAAACCCUGGUUCUUGCUUUGCUCAUCUCCCCCACCUUAACUAUCACAUUCUCCUUCUCUCUGGCCUUCUGUUGUCAUUGUAGCCCUUGGCCAGUAUAUAUUUAUUUCAGGAAUCAGGGACGGAGAACCUUUGGUACCCCAGGUUUGACUACCAGGUUUGACUGUUUGGUGGGGUUAUUGUUUUUGUUUGUUACUAUGGCAUUCAUUUCUGUGCUUUUUAUAUUGUAAUCCGUACUGUGAUCCUCUGAAAUUUAAUAAAAGCUUGCAUGUGAUUUCGCAAUGUUUUGGUUGAGGAAAGAAAGGCAUUGCUUUAGCAUGGAUUUUUGAAGUCCAAAUUAUUCUCUCCAUUUUCAGGGGCUCACAACUGUGCCUGGUGCAUUACAGGGUCCAGCUACGUGAGAUGCAGGGAAUGCUGUAGGAUGAUAGGACUCCUGAGUGAGAAGUGCUUUCAUUCUCUGCCCCACCCUGGUUCAGUUUUGCAGUGCUGCCAAGUUGCAUGCCUUGUGCAGGAUUGCAAAAGUGGACCAGGCCCUAUUGCUCCCAGGUUUUCCCAGCAGUGCCCAAUGUCCAUGAAAAUGUCAGAACUACCUUUCAAUAAUUGCACCCUAGUUUACUGUACACUCAACAAACAUUGAGUGCUUAGCACAGUACCCCCUUCAGGUUGGCACCCAGGGAGAGGGUUUCGUUUAUCCAUCCUUAAGGCUGGCUCAGUGGAGGAGAUUUAGAAGGCUUUUGAAAACUCCCUUUUUCAAAUCAGUUAUUUCAUUGCAGGGACUGUUUUGCUUCACCUUGUUGCUGAGAUCUUCCUUAAGGUGUGGAAUGGAAAGGAUGGCAAUGGAGAGAGAAAAAAGCAGAGAGGAGACAAGAUUUCAAGUGUCUUGUUGAUUGGAGUGGAAAGGAGGGCAUGGAUGUCACAGUUCCUGCAGCUGAAUUACUGGUGGGGAAUCUACCCAUAAGAGUAAGGGAAAGGAAUGGAGUCUGUGCAUGUGUGUGUGUGUAUGUAGCACUACAGCUAAUUUGAACAUCAACAAAUCAGUCAAAUGAUUUUUGGCUAAUGUUUAACAUCGUUUCUUACUUGGGAAAUGCCUAAGCUCCCAGCAGGCAUUUAUUUUAGAUCUGUUGAUCAACCCAGAAAAUCUGGAAAACAAGGAUGUUUUAUACGUGGAGUAUGUGUCUGUGUCACUGUGUAGUAGACACAGCAUCACCACCAUUAAGGGAAAAAGUCCCCACCCUUUCAUUCUAUUCAAAAGGAAGGCCUGUGAGGACUAGAAAAAAGAGGAUACUGUCUCUUUAUGAAUACUAAUAAGGAAAUCAAGGGGGGGACGAAUGGCACUUCAAGUUUCAUCUUUCCAUUUCCUAGAGGCGCAGACUCUGCGAGUUGUCACCUUGGUGUAUUCAGUGCCUCUUGAAGCACUAGACUCCUCCAGAGAGAAUGUCAGCCCCAGCCCAGGGCAGUUUUGACAAACAGAGUAUAUAUUGAUACAUGAUAAAGUAUGCUAGAAAUCACCCCAGCGCUAAAGGCUACUAUAGUUUUAAUAUCAUCAUUUGAAUUAACAAGCAUUCUGUGGAGAAAUAAUGAGCUUUCAUUAUUCAGAACAUCAUCCUUACCGGGGGAACUCAGAAACCAUUAGCUCUUGAGAACUUAAUGAAAAGAUGAUAAAGAAUGUUUUUUAGAUAAAAGUUUGAACGGGCGCACUUGGUAACUGAAGUAAAAUAUUAAUGUUUCUUUGGAUGAUGAAUUGGCGUUGCGGAGCUCCGGUGUUUCCGAGGGAAAGGUGGUGCACGCAGGUGUUUUUGGACUGUCUCACACCUGCAUGGGAACCCCAGCAGAAGCGGCUGAAGGCUUGUCAGUAACUUGUCAGUGAAAGCUGCAUGUGAAGCUUAGAAAUCUCCGGGAUAGAUGCCCUGGAAAGACAUGCUGCAUAUUCAGUAAUGUAUCUAAUUAUUCAUACUAGUAGCAGUUCUGGGGGUGGGGUGGGGAAUGGCGAUAGCGGGCCUUCAGGGUGUGAAAAAUUACACAAGCCACAUUCAGAACAAACAGUUUACUUCAGUUUAACAUUAUUUUAUACCUGUAUUGGUCUGUACCCACCGUAAAGCUCAGUUCGUAAUAGUGCGGCCCCUAAGCAACAAUUCCUUGGUUCCCCUCUCCAUAUCACCUCAGUCCCUCACGAAUCAUAUUGUUCUAAUGACUGAAUUGACAGGGAGAGAAAGGACAUAAGCACUGCCAUAAAAAAUAAUAUAAUCACAAAUUCAAGGGGACCUAUAGGGGCCUAACCUAUAGAGGAGAGUUUGUUGUUGUUGUUUUAAAAGCAUAUACCACUGCAUAGCCCCAGUAAUGUAAACAUUAGGUCCGGGAGAGGAGUUAAAUCAAAUAACGGGGGCAACUUCUGCAUUGCUAAAAAGAGAGAGGGCAAAAGUGGACACAGAUCAGCACAAUUCUAGAAAUAAUCUAUAUGAUUUAAAUUGAAAUACAACACAUUGCUCCACAGUAGGGUGAAACUGUGGAAAAAACUCAACGUAGCACUAAGCAGAUCGCUCUGUCAGUGCAAACAUUUCUGCUUGCCUGAUGGAACAAUCUGCCCUUUCCUUCCCCUGAGUGCUGUCCUGGGUGUUCUCCUGACCACCCUCCUCCAUGUCAGUUUGGGGGGCAAGGGGGAAGAAAGGCGGGGAAAACCCUGCUGCACUAGCAAAAGCCCUUGCAUGUCUUUCCGCUGGUGGAGCUUGGUAGUUGGACCUCCUUGUGGCUUGUGUGCCAGCUUAGUCUGCUCUCCAAGUGUUGGUGGGCAACAUCAAGACCCCUGCUUUUCCUUCUUAAGAGUCUUCCUCUUAAAACUGGACAGACUGAGUAGCCCUUUGAACAGAUGAUUGUCCUUUGUGAAGGAGUUCACAUGGCCAUCGUAUGGGCAUGAUGAAAUGCAGAAACUACUUCCAGAAAGUUGUGAACUGGAGAUAAUAAAGACAAGCCUGCAGAACAGGCACAGUAUUUUGGAUUUUUUUUUGCAAAGUGCAUCACAUUCUGAGCUUUAGAACACUGGCCUUCAACUGGGGGAUCGGGACCCACUUAGUGGGACAUGGCCUGAUCCAAGGUGGGUCUCAACAGGAGCACUACCACCAUGCAUAUAAAUGGCAAAAGAUUAAGAAAGGGGUUCCCAAAUGCACGUUUGGGUUAAAAGUGGGUCCUGGGUCUUAAAAGGUUGAAGAUACCUGAUUUAGAAUAUCUUGAAAGUUGCAACAAAACAUGAAGGGAGAGCACUGCUAAUUCCUAAAGAGGAGCAUCCCUGUGCCCUGUUUGUUGGUGCAAAUAGAUGUACAAUUUUUGCUGUUCUUUCCCCAGCAUAGCUCUCUCUGUCACAGAGACAAUGGCUGCUUGCACUUUAGUAAGCGGUGUCCAGAAUAAACUUUGAGAUCACCCUUUACAUUUUCACAUAGCACAAUCUUCCUCCUUGAGGAAAAAACACUCUCUCACAUUGCCCAUAAUAUAGGGUUGCCAUCUAUCUGUGUGGAACUCGCUGAAAUGUCUGGGAAAAUCCAGACGUAUGGCAGACAAUGUUGGCAGUGUAGAUUUUGGCAAAUUUCAUUAAAAAUAGCUCAAAAUCUUUGGUCAAAAAAAGAAAAAAAAAGAGAAAGCUCCACAACUUUUGUGUCAGGGGCGAAUGGAGCUAAUCGCAAACUAGCAGCAAAAUGUUCUCUCUGUAAUGAUCACAAUCCAAUACAGAGUCAAUAGAUUUGCCUUUGAAUGUGAAUUGAAUCAAAUUCCACCCUCCCCCACAGUCAAUAAUAAAGGUAAGAUCCAUGUUGCUCUGCAAACGAAAUAAAAAUGCCAUUCAAAAAUGAUGGAUCCUGAAGUUUCGCGCAGAAAGCAUUGAAAUAUUUUGGCUGGGUUGGUGUACUUUUGGAAAUUCUCUCUGGGUGGCUAGCAACGUUUCUGCAAUAAAACACACACACACCUAAAACGUCACGCAAUAAAGGUAGGAAAAAUAUAUAUAAAAGUCUGGAUGUUAUUGGGUGUGAAGCUCUUAAAGGACUACUGUUCGCAAGGGGUAUAAAAGAUCACUGGAUUUGAAUGUAUGCACCCCACUAAGAUGUGUUAGUCUUGCUGUUGGCUUCCUUUAACCAUUACAAUUUGCUUUUUUCAGUUGUUUAAUUCCUGAUACUUAUAAGCACAGAGGGAUUGCAAGCCGUUUCCACCUGUAGACAAUUGGAGCAGGCAGUUUGUCCCAGGGAGAGAACCCAGAGGGGUUGCGUGCACUCCAAACCCCUCUUCCCGCCUGAUGCUUUCCACUUUGCUGUGGAAGAUUUAUUACAUUUAUUUUCAGUGGCAAACUUGAAAGUGGGCAGGUGAAAGGCGGGGGGAGGGGAGAGAAGGAGGAAUAAACUACCACAAUAAACAGUCUAAAGACAACAGUGUUUGCAUAUAGCAGAUGCAUUUAGGUAAAUGCGGUUACCUCGAGAGGUGUUAUCUUCUGGGGAGCCUUAUCAUAAUUUUGUUUUAAACUCAAACAGCUGUUGUUUAACUACCACAGACCACAAUUUAUCUACAGCUUGAGGCCAUAAAGGUAGCUUUAUUACACACAUUGCUUUUCCCUCCUCCUCCAAUUUGGUUUAAUUUCAGUAUGUCAGACAUCAAAAUGCUAUAUACAAUUUGCAUAUUACAGAGAUGUCGUGCCUCAGAUUCCCAUACCCGGCUAAAUGGGAGAGUUGAUUCACAACAGGCCAGCUCUCUCGUUUGAUGAAUAUGGAAGCUCUUCUGCCAAGUGCCCUGUAUGCUCAAUGUACUCUGUAUGGCGCUACCAUUGGGGUUUGUCUGGUGGCUGCAGCUGGUGCAGAAUGCAGUGGCCAAGUUGCUUGAUAGGUGUCAGAGACUGGACAGAGGACAAAUGGUGGAGACCGCCUCCCCAUCCUGACCCUUCCAGGGAGGAGGAAGAGGAAGACAGUAUAGAUUUACAAUAAGGGUUUGAGGAAGGUUGCUAGGAAAUCAUGGGAGAGCCAGAACAACACCCAGCUGACAUGUUGUCAUUAGAAAGCCUUCCAGACCCUCCAUCUCCCAGAACUUGGAAAGCCUUAAAAGUAGGAGAGCAAAGAGCUCAAAGACAGAGGGCAUGUAGCAGCGCCCAUAGAGGAAACGAUGAGAAUGACGAAUGAGGAAGUGGGAGAGAUGGGCUGGGUGGAGAUUCACUUAGGACAAUGCCAUUAUUCCAGAGGCUGGGUUCUAUAGCCUCUCUCUGUAAAGAUUGAAAUAAAAAAGGAUGGUAAGAAACUUUCCUUGUCAUUAUACUUUCCUGGGCAACCAGCUGGGAGCCGCUGACAGCAUCCUGACAAUAAGGGCAAACUACCACGAGCAUAGAACACCUUGCUUAUGGGAUUUUUAGGGGCUGCCAAUCUGCUACUAUCACUGCAGAUGGUGACAGCAGUCACGAAAUUAAAAGACGCCUGCUCCUUGGGAGAAAGGCAAUGGCAAACCUAGGCAGCAUCUUAAAAAGCAGAGACAUCACCUUGCCAUCAAAGGUCCGUAUAGUUAAAGCCAUGGUUUUCCCAGUAGUGAUGUAUGGAAGUGAGAGCUGGACCAUAAAGAAGGCUGAUCGCUGAAGAAUUGAUGCUUUUGAAUUAUGGUGCUGGAGGAGACUCCUGAGAGUCCCAUGGACUGAAAGAAGAUCAAACCUAUCCAUUCUUAAGGAAAUCAGCCCUGGGUGCUCACUGGAAGGACAGAUCGUGAAGCUGAGGCUCCAAUACUUUGGCCACCUCGUGAGAAGAGAAGACUCCCUGGAAAAGACCCUGAUGUUGGGAAAGAUAGAGGGCACAAGGAGAAGGGGACGCCAGAGGACGAGAUGGUUGGACAGUGUUCUCGAAGCUACAAACAUGAGUCUGACCAAACUGUGGGAGGCAGUGGAAGACAGGAGUGCCUGGCGUGCUCUUGUCCAUGGGGUCACGAAGAGUCGGACACAACUAAAUGACUAAACAACAACAAUCUGCUACUUGGCCAAGUUCAAGACGUUGGCACAAACAGCCCUAUACAGGUUACCUGAGAGACCACCUUAUCCCUUGCACACCCUGUAGAUUGCUGCGGUCUGCCUGAGAGUGUCUCUUGCAAGUUUCAAAGACUCCAGAAGCUCAGAGAAGGGCUUUUGGUAUGGCUGCCCUGGUUUUGUGGAAUAGUGCUCCUGUGGAGAUAUGACAGGUGCCCCCCUAUCUGCACUUUCUGGAAACAAUUGUUGUCAUCUUUGUUCCAACAGGCUUUCACAGCUGGAUAAAUGGGUCUUUGCCACGAGUGUAUAUUUUGUAUGUUUUUAGUUUUGUUUUAAAUAAACCUGCUUUUACUUCUUUUUCUCUUGCACAUUGCCUUGAGAUGAUUGUAUAGAAGGUGAUUAAUAAAUUAGUAUUUAUUAAUAUAACUUCAGUUCUUCAGAGAACAAGAAGUGUUGGUUUUUCCUAGAGAUAUACAGUCGAAUCAGAGCUCCUGCAGCCAGUUCUUUGGAACAGAUCCCUGGAGCAUAUAUAUAUGCUCCAUAUAUAUGGGGUGGGAACUGGAUACACCCCCACCCACUGCACACAGACUAGCAUCACAGAUACUAUAUAAGUGGUCCUUAGUUUCACUGGAAUAAGUGGGCAGAACAGGAUGAAGGAUUUCAGUUUAAAAAGAAAUUGAUGUGCAUCCCCCCCCAAAAAAAAAGUGAGAGAAAAGAAUGGCACUGAUUCUUAAUGUGGAACUAUUUGUUUAAGGUAUAACUCAUCACAUUUGCUCACCUGCUUCAUUCAGCUUGAAGUGGGAAUUUUAAGACUGUUUAUAUUUCGGUGUCGCAGGAACAAGACCCCUUUGUUGCACUGUUAUCUUAAGGGUGGACUACAUGAACCUGUUGGCACUAAUCAAAAGGAAUCAUACCAUAACUCAAUUACUAAUUGACCUUUCCAACUCCAACAUCCAUCACGUAACACGAGACAGCCGGCUUGAGCUGCUCUGCGAGAGCAUGUAACAAACUGCCCAGCGAGAGGAAGCUCACUUUAAACAGAAGAAAAUAAUGAAACACACCCAUCUCCCCAACGUGGCAUGCUCAGAGCCAUCAACCUAAUUUCAUCUCUCUGACACUUAGCACUUAUAGAAAGGCAGGUGUGGCCAGACAAGACAGGAGGAAAUUAGUGCAAGGUUUUCUUUACAUGAACAGGCUAGCCCCGCGGUGACGACUUUACGACUUGCCUGUUUGAAUAUGGUACCUGCCCUACGGUUGGUUAAUUCGAGCACAAAGGACUACAUCAGAUAUGGUCCCUGCAGUCCUUCCUUAACUGGCCCUUUGGACUCUGCCCAGGCCAUAAAGCCACCCUAGACCACAUUUCUCUCUGACCCUGCUCCACUCUCUUGCCUGCUUUGGGACAUUCUUGUCAUGGACUGGUUGGACGCAGAGGAAUGAUGGGAGGAACCAUCUGGGGGAACCAGCAAGGGCAGAAGGCUCAGAGCCUGGAGAGUGGUGAUGGGACAAUGAUGAGUUAGAGAGAGAAGAGGAAGAAGACUGGGAGGAGAAGGUGUUGGAAGCUGAAGAGGGCUUAGUGAGCUGGGAGAAUCUGUGGCAGAGAGAUGUCUAGAAUCGGAGGCAGAAGCUGAAGCAGGGAAGGAGGGAGGCCAGGAGAAAGAGAGAAGUCCAGCUGGUGAAGAGGCAUGGGUGUCUCCCCCUCCUCCUGUGACACGCUCCCUUCCCCCAGUCUCCCAGAACCAGAGGGGGGCUGAAACAGGCAGAGCAGUGGCGGGCUUCAUGCAGGCACAGUCUCUGAUUGCUUGGAAAAAGCCCUGUAAGUAAACUUGACAAAUGAAAGUGGAUUGACUAACCACUUACCCCUCAGGCUCAGUGUUACACUUCUGUAAAAUAGGAAUAUUAACCAAUUGCCUUUGAACUAGCCUUUCUGCAUCUCUUUUGGGUGAUUUUGGAGUUUUGUGUUAUGUAGGAACUCAGAUGCCGAUUUGCACUUUUAUAUGCAAUCUGUUCCAGGCUGAUGGGGUGCAGGACUUAAAUUGGAUCCCACCCAAGCCACCAUCUGGUUCUUCCCCUACUGGUGGAGCUCAGAGUGAAAACAAAGUAGAUCCCGUAAGCCUGAAGUCAGAGGCCCGAGGCUGGGUCUUUUUCAAAGGCAUUUGCAGGCUGGGCUGUGGAGUUGGUUUGUCUCAGGAAGGCUGAGGAGUUUAUUGAGCUAUUCCAAGCUGCUGAAUCUGGAAUGUUGGUGGUGAUGGAGAGAAAUCAUUAGUAUUUUACCUUAUUUAAUAUGGAAAUCAUGUCAAAGGUAAAUGUCAGGAGGCUACAAAAUUACCCUCCUUAUCUCCCAUACAUUUAUCAGUUGAUAAAUGGAAAGACAGUGCUGCCAAAAUAACUGUGAAUGAAUAAUUUAUAAAAUGACUGAUGCUUCGUGUAUAUUGUUUCAGGCAGGAAACAGUAGGACAUCAAUAAUCAAAAGGAGCCGGAUUAAUUUAGCAGAAUUCUGCAGCUAAUAUUUUUAUCUAAAUGCUACAGUCGUGGACCUCCAUCGUCAGGAAAUCCCUCCCUUGGCCACUUGCUGCCGGAUUCAAAGCCCACACAAGUCAAUGGGAGGCUUUGCAUUUGCUACAGUUGGUUUUUAUUGCAGACCCUUUGACAAGGCUGGAGUUUUUCUUUGUGCAUUUCUGAUGUCCAUAUUUGUACACUGAGUACAGGUACGUGCAGCGGUGCUGGGGGCAAGCCUGUUCCUUAACCCCGCGUUAUCCUUUACACUGGCUUCAGUGUGUUCCCAUCACUGGUUUUUGAAAUCACACACACAUACACAAUGUUAGCCACAAUCCAAAAGUGUCCUGCAGUUUCUUGUGAAAUUGCGUCUCCCGCAAGUCAGCUUCAGUCUGACUUGAGAACUGUAGCCUUGUGUGCAUUUGAAAGCUGAUCUUUCUUUCUGGAGUGAUGGUGAUCCUACACGUCUGAUGUCAGUGUGCAGAAGAAGCCCUUCCCCUCUCCACCCACCACUACUUGCCAGUAAAAACGUUUGCCCCUUAAAAUAAAAUGGGGGGGGGCCCUCCGUGACAGAAUUCAGGACACAUUAUGCUUUUAAAAAGGCACAGUGAGGGGAAGCAAUGUAUGUGUGCAAGCAUGAGAGAGACAGUCCAAUGGCAAGAUCAGGAGAGAAAUGGAGGUUUACAGGUACAGUUUACAUCUGCCUGGACUGAGGUCUUGGGGGAAGGAAAGUUCAUUUAAUUUGACUGUCAAAGGAGGGGUUAAAAUGCUAAGAAGGAAUUUUAAACAUCUUCAACUCUGUGUUGUGCUCACUCAGGCCACAUCAGGACCUGUGGACAAAUUUUAAAUAGCCAUGGUUCCUCACCCCCCCCCCCCGAUUCCUGGGAAAUGUAGUUUACCCUUCACAGAGCUACAAUUCCCAGCACCCUUAACAAACUACCCUUCCCACAAUUCCUUGUGUGAACACUUUAAUUGUAUGGGAUAUGUGCAGCUCCCUCAUCUAUGGCCAUACCUCUCCUAACCUAUGACAGUUGAUGCUCUAAAAUCUUCCCAAGAUUCUGAAAAGGGAAUUAAAUAACAGGAACAGCUUAGCAUUAUCUAAUACCACCUCUCUUUCUUUCAGUAUAAAUAACUCCCCUUCUUCCUUUUCAGACCCAGGAUAAAUCUCAGGUUCAGAGUGACGCCUCCAGUCAAAUCUUCCUUUCCCCCUCCAGUCUUCCACAUACACUCUUUUUGCUUAUGACCCAUCACCAUGCCUGUUUUUCUUUUCCGGAGACGUGAAUUCAUAAGUAGAGCACACAAUGAAUUAACUGAUGAGUUCCACUGUUCUUUGUUGCUGAACUAAGCACUUCCAAAAUAACACUCCAAAAUCCCAGCUACAGAAAGCCAUCCCUCUUUCUUUCAAGAAUCUACAUUUAGGUAUAUAAUUUUUUUGGGGGGGGGAGGAAGGGAUGGAGAAAUAAUAAUAAAAAAUCUUAUAAGGAAUAUUCACGCUUCUUUGAUGUCAAUGAGUCAGUCUUUAUUUUUAUUUUUUAAAAAAUUCUCUUCAAAAUCUUGUAGUCAAAUAAUUUAGACAUUCCUUACAUUGACUUCCAUUGUAUAUAUAUAUAAAAAAUGGAAAUCAAGAGAGAGUUCUGUAAAUACAUUUAAUCUGUCAAGCAGCUUAAAAUUCAGUACUGGGAAAAUAAAGUAGGGAGACUCUUGUUCUUCAGAUAAAAUGCUAAGCAGGAGAGACAGUCCCCCUCGGUUUUCUUCCCACAUCUUUCUCUGGUGUUUCUCUCCACCCUGUUUCUCUCCCCCCCCCCUUAUUGAUAUUGCUGUGCUUUUUGAUCUCUGCAGUUUCUUUGUUUUGGCUUCCCAGGUACCAAGGGAGAAUGGCUAGCAGUGAGUUCUCUUUCAGCUUUUCCUGCUCUGAAAGCCCCUCUGGCUUAGCCAGCUGGAUCACACUGAAUUAGUCAAGUACUUCAUUAUCUCCCUUCUCUGCACAUUUUGCUCCAGGUAACAAAAUGCCCAAACAAGAGAGCCAGUGCCUUCUGCCACACUGUCUGCGAAGUUACAUUGUUGUGGCCAAUUCUGCAUUAUCAGCCUCGUGCUCUGGGAGGGCAUCACUUUCCAUCCCUCGCCUGCAGUCCUCCCCGAUAUCCAUUUAGUCACAGCAGUUAGCUAACCAUGUAGCUGUUGAUAACAUAGCACGGGGUGCUGGCAUAUCCAGACACACACACCGCCCUGCUCUCCAAGCCCUUAGGAUGUCUGGGAUUUCUCUUUGCAGCGAAGGGCCUACAGUAGGAACAGGGACUAGCUGGGAGAGCCAGACCAAUUACAUUGUUGGGGUAGCUGCGGCUGCUAUGUGAGAAUUGCUCUUGUUAGCAGGCCAGCAGGAUGGAAGUUUUGCAGCAGGGCUUUGCGCUUUUUGCUGCAGUGAAGCACCACUAAGCAGUUAACUAGGUCAGGUACAGAGAGCCGCUGCUUGAAAUCACCUUCCUGACUAGUGAAGCUUUUGUCCAGCUGGUAUUUUUAAUUUUUGUUUGAAAAAAAUUCCCCUCCUUUCGCUGAAUGAACGCCAUCGUGUUAAGCUUCUCUCCUUCGUUCACAUUCUUCAAGACUGCAGUUUUUCAGUGGCCACUGCUGCCUCUUGUAUUUUUCGAACCACAUGUUUCCUCUUGCUCCUUCUUCCCUCUACUGAAUGCCUUUCUUACAGUGACCUUUUAAGUUACGCUACAAACCACCUUCAGGCAUUUCUCUCCUGUGAUGGGUAAGGUGGAUGGCAGUGAAAUCCCAUGGAAGAAGCGAACAGAACAGAUCCACUUCUGUUGACUUCUUUGGUUAUCUGGGCUGUGGGGGAAAGAGGCUAUCGGUCACAUUAUCUAGGCUAAAAAUAUGUGUGAACAGCAAUAUAUUAAAGACACCUAGCAAGAGAGGGUCAGAGCUCAGAAGUAGACUGCAUGCUCUGCAUGCAGAAGGCCAGGUUCAGUUUCUGCCGAUUGCCCACUUAGCACAUUGCCAAAAGCAGAGGACAGAGAGAUUUGCAUAAAAUCUGCAUAAGCUGAUUUAUAUGGAUAGAUUCAGAAUUAGAUGGCUAUAAUUUAAAUAGGAAUACAAUCUAUCUCCCCCAUACUGGGGAGGACUGUGACAAAGUGACCUGUACUAGGCCUCCCUCCAUGUGCUAAUGGGCUAAUGUGUGGAUGGCCAUCUGUUCUGGGAUGUUUUAGCUGAGAUUCCUGCAUUGCAGGAGGUAGGACUUGGGGUCCCUUCCAACUCCACAAUUCUAUCAUUCUAACUGACCAUGGAUGGGCAAAUUCCAGACCCCUGUUCUCUCUUCUUACCAUUCUUUUCUAUAAAUCAUACUUUGAACUGGAUCACUGAAAUAAACUUGGAGUCAAGUGUGCAUUUCAUGCUCUUUAUUCAGCUCAUAGUAGCGAGGAAUGGAACUUCCCCCGAAAUGUCUGCUUUAUAUACAUUAUUUACACAAUGGGUCCCACGUGAUUGGCUAGUUUCGGGAUUCUCCUGUAGGCCAAUCAGGCUGCGGAUUCACUUCCACCUGAAGUUGGAUUGGGUGGCUCCUGCGGACCAAUCAGACUGCUGCCUUCUGGAUCCUAUUGUUCUAGGACCAAUCAGACUGCUGCAAUUUGGAUCCUAUUCAACUCAGUACAUAACAAUCACUUUUUGUAAAGUAGCACCCCCCCCAAACAAACCCCCAAAUCCUAACAUCUCCUGUUCAAUCGAUCAAUAGCAGAUGAUGUGGAAGACCUCUACUGAGAUCCAGGAGAUCCAUUGCCAGUCAGAGUACAGUGGUGCCUCGCAAGACGAAAUUAAUUCGUUCCGCGAGUUUUGUCGUCUUGCGAUUUUUGUCGUCUUGCGAAGCACGGUGUCGGGAAAGUUUUGGAAAAGCUUCAAAAAUCACCAAAGCCUUUAAAAACCUCAAAAAAGGCUACCACACCGCGUUCUAUGAGUUGCUCCUCAAAGUCAAGUCGCAACUGUAUUAACGGUGUUAAGAAAAAGGAAACAAACUUGCAAGACGUUUCCGUCUUGCGAAGCAAGCCCAUAGCGAAAAUCGUCUUGCGAAGCAGCUCAAAAAACAAAAAAAAACCCUUUCGUCUAGCGAGUUUUUUGUCUUGCGAGGCAUUCGUCUUGCGAGGUACCACUGUACGGAGCUAGAUGGACACAGACUCUGAUCUAGUAGCUUUCUGCACUCUUAUGGGGGUGGAGGAAAAAGUAUUUGCAUGUUGGGAGUGAAGGGAGCAAAAUUAUUUUCUGUCAAUGCACUGAAACCUGAAGCCAUUCAAUGCAAUGUGAUUGUCUCUAGUUUCAGGACAAUGCAGAAGGAAAUACUAUAUAUAAGAAAAACCAUGGCUUAGACGUUGUAUGUUUUAGGGAUCCAUUUUAAUUGAUUUUAGCUACUGUUUGUUUUUUGAACACUUUCUUAGGAAUCCCUGUGAUUAAGUGGUAUAUAAAUAGCUCAAAUCAUUAUCAAAUAAUAACAUAAUUAGUUUAUGGAAUUCAUGGCCUGGAUGUCCACUUAUAUAGCUGGUGUCAAACUCACCUUAGCUAUGUGGGGUAGGUCUACCAUGUUAAUUAGAAAUGCAGCCUCCGUGAUACAGUGGAAUGGAACCACAGUGGUGGAAGGAACCUCAAAGGUCAUUUAGUUCAGCCUGCUGCAGGAAACCUACAAUGACAGCAUUUCUGAUAGGUUCCCAUCCAGUCUCUGCUUAAAAAAUACAUUUUCAAGAGGAUAGUCUUAUUAUCUGGUUAUAAAACUGCAGUGAAGGAUAGCAAGGACAGUAGGACCCAUCUGUUAGGGCCAAAUGAGAUGUGACAUUCAGUGCAUCUCUGCAUGUAACAUGCAGGUUUUAAAAUAUGCAAAUAGAAUCAUCUGGAAGAGUUGCAUUUUGAUAAUUAGCAAGACCACAGCAGGCAAUCUAGUUUUGUUUGGCCCUUGGUGAUAAUGGGAAGGUAUGAAUCAGGGAUUUUCAGGUUCACACUUCAGUCUCUAAACUUCUACAUAACAUUAACUCUCACUAUAAAUUAAGGGUUGUAUCCAAGGGUUGUCCACACUUCAACUUGCCCUGUGCCUAAAAAGCAUAGGCCUGAGAGGUUUUCCAUUGGUCCCCCCAGUGCCUGAUUUAUGUAUAGGCUAAGUAGGCUGAAGCCUAGGACCUCGAAAUCUAGGGGGCCUCACCAGCCUGCCCAUUCCCCAGCAGGCAACCUCCCCUCUCCCAAAAUUGCAAACCCAAGCCAUCAUGCAAGGGCACGGCAACUCAGGCUCAGCAACUAUGAGACUUGGGGCUAGCCAGUGGGGCCAAAUUUGAAGAAGUGGGGCCCAACUUUAGUGUUUUUUUUUGUUGGGUCCCAGUUCACAGCUAAAGUCUGUAAAAUCUUAUAGAUAUAAAUAAAAUCCAUCUAGAUUGCCCUGGUGCAGGGGGCCCCUUAGGAGUGGCCCACAGGGCUCAAUUUGGCCAAAUUGUUCCAAUUGCCUUAAGGUCAGCCCUGAUGAGACUGUGCAGCGGUUGGACUGACAAGCCCUGCACCUUAUAGGUCCCUGGUGUCACUAUUCAGAGUACAGACUCAAGGACUUGUUAAUAAAGGGGGGCACUUAUUGGAAAUCAGUUUUGUCACCUCUCUGCCCCCCCCAGACCCUGGGAUGAUGAGCCCAGCCACCUUUUAUUCACAGUUGCAUAAGCAUUACACUACAACAUGGCCAUAAACAUGUACGUUCAACCGCUGAAAUACACACCCAAUAUGUAGCAAUGGAGAUUUAUGUUACUGCUUUAUGAAUGAACACUGUGUUUUAUUAAUGGACUCUUUAUUUUUGGAAUUACCUAAGAGCCACCAAUAGGGAGCUCUAGAAUCUGACAGCAAACCAAUCGGGUACUACCAAACAGUGACCCCUAUUGCUGAAAGCAGGUAACCAGCAGGAAACACUUCAGCUCAGCCUUUGCACUGUUGACUGAACACCCCUGCUCUGCAGAUAAUGGAGAAAGCUCGUAAAUUGUAUCCCUUCUGGCAUCCUGGCCAAUUCUAUUACGCUGGUGUAAACCUGUUGCACCCGGAGCCCAGAAUAGCAGCAAAUAAAAUCCGCUCAUAUGUCAGUGACCGAUAAGACUUGGCAGCCAGUUCUUCCAAAGUCUUCCUAAAUUAUAAAGCUCCAAAAUACAGGCCAAAAGAGAGCAGGUCUGGGAAGAGCGAGGCAUACAAUGGGCACCACCAGUGAAAAAGCCCUGCUCCACGUAGCUCCUGCCCUGUCAUUUGAUAAGGUGCCCACUUGCCCUCCUUCUUGACAUGGAAUGCUCUCUAUUGGAGUCUCCAGGUCCAAUAUAAAGACCAUAUGAAGGGACUUUGAAGUUUCCAACAGCUAUUAAGCAAGCAAGCAAGCACACAGGUCACCUUUGUCACAGAACGCCUAUGUCCUGGCCAGGCCUGCACCCAGUCUUGUUUUUGUACAAUCUUGUUUGUUCUCAGUAACCAAAAUUAUAUUAUCAACAUAUACAAGUAGAAAAGUUGUUUUCCUUCAUUUGCAAGGAAUCGUACAAAACAAAGUGGCACUAAUAAAGAAAAGUUCCAGGUUGGCAACAGAAAGCAAACUAAAAACGCUUUUGGAGUUCAUCAGAACUAUCCAGCAAUAUCAAGUUAUAGGAAAACUGGUGCUAUUAACAGUAACCCUUGUAGUUGGUUAAUUGAUUUGGCAACUUCCAUGCACAUGACAUCUGAUGCUAAUUCCUCCCGCAAAGAGUUAAAUAAUAACAUAUCAGAGGCAGCUACAGUUUAAAAUGGAAACAAAAUAUCUGUGAAAGGAAGAGGAGCAGGUUUGCUCAAGUGUGUUGCAGGUAGAAAUACUGUUUGUAAUGAAGUGAGAGCUGUAGUAGCUCAAAUUAACAAAUAGGAAAGGUCUGAGAAUUUACAUGCUAGAUUAAAAUUGAUGAAUUCAUUGAGAAGGGGAUUGUAAGAAAAACACUGGGGCCUAAUUUGAAUAAUAGAGUGCCUGGUAUCUGGUGGGCAAUGCUCUCCUUUAUUUCCACACUGUGGCUGCAGACCAAAUUACCUAUCAGGAGAGCUAAGAGAUUUAGGUGAGGGUCAGAUGCCUUGUCAAUCCCAGCAGGUAUAUAACAGGAGGACCUGGCCCGCCCAGCUUUCCCAAUUCAUCUUUGAAUUCAUUUACCACAGCCACAAAAUUCAAAAGUGAUUUCUGAAGCUUGCUUGAAUUUUACCUAUACUGCCAGAAAGAAAUUUGGGGAAGAUAAUAAAAAUUAACGCAUGCAAGAAGGAAAUGGAUUGGAACUGUGAACGAUUUCUUCUUGCGCAAAUGUGCUCUACACUAACUUUAUGGUGGUGUUAAACAAACCCAUUGUGGGCAGCUGGUUAAAGAGGGAGUUUGUUAAUUUCACAUAACCUACUUGUUAAUUGCUUUCAUCCCUGGUCAGUUGGUUUCUGCACUCUGAACCCUAAAGAUAGCUCCGAAUGGAUGUGUUUGGGGAGUGAGAGGUAAUUAAUGCAAGCAGGCAGCCAUGGCUGCAACACAGAGGUUAAGGAGGAGAGAAAGGCCUGCGCUGUGCAGGCCCUCUCUGGAACUGUGCAGGCGACCUCCCUGUUGCUGAUAUCGCCUUCCUCUCUUUGUGCCCUUCUGCCAUAACUUUGCAGGCUUCAGGGAAAGCCAAAUCAGGGCUGCCCUCUGGCACAUAAUGUUGAUCAGUAGAUAAAACUUCCUAGGCAGCCAUGGAGCAGCAGCAGCAGGAACAAGUGAGCUUCCCACACAAAGCCCAACAGCUACACUGAGUUUGCUAAAUGCCUUCUUGCCUGCCACCACCUCAUCCAGCUCCCUGAAGGAUCUUGUUGUUGCUUGACUACGGUGGCUGCCUUUCCCAUGGCCUUUUUUCCUCCAUUCAUUUUUUUGAAAACUGAGCUCCUUCCAAAAGAUUUCCCUAAUGACAAGGUAUGCUGAGUUGAGCAUUGCAUUGCAUUACAGACAGCAGAAGGAGGAAUAUAGGGGGAGGUGAUCACAGCAAUACACACUGCCUCUGUUAUUACCUUAAAGUCAGACAGUGAGGUGUUCCCAUUUUCUCAGGUGUCUGUACACACACACACACACACACACACACACACGUAGUUGGAAACCCAGCCUCUGACCACCUCCAGGAUGAAUGGCACCAAGGGGCAGGGAGAAUGGGAAGCUAUUCAUUCAUUUUACAAGCUGCCAUGCUUUGAUUUACUCCAGACCCAAAACAGAAUAAAGCCAAACAGCUGACCUGCGAGUUAUUUAAAACUGUGAGCCUAACACUGAAUCAAGGGGAGCAUGAGACAACAUGUGGAAAUGUUGUCUGACAAUUGGCAAUGCUUUGAAGUAUUUUAGACAACUGUCUGUUCAUUAUUUUGAAUUGGCCCACACCAUUUCCAUCGUCUGCUCCCUAUGCCCAUGAGAAGCUGGAACUGAGGUCCCUCUCUCCAUCUCUACUUUCAUGAGAAGGCAGAUGCUGGUGGAAGAAGAGAUCUGUUUUGCAGGAUGAGAUUUCAGCCCCUGUUUAGUUUCCUCAUAGCAAGGGUGGCUAACCCAUGGCACUCUAGAUGCUGUUGGACUCUCCCAUCAGCCCUACUAGGGUUGCCAUAUUUCAAAUCCAGGCAGAAAAGUUGUCAAGCUUUUUUUAAAUGGGAAAUUGGCAAAAACAACACUGCCAACAUGGACAGUGAAUCACCCUGGGAUCUUUGAAUGAAGGGCAGUAUACAAAUUUUAAUAAUAAUAAUCAACUGGAAGGCCACAAGUUUGCCCCCUAUGCCUUGUAGAAAUGCUAGAGGGAAGCUUGAUGGUGAUUUUGGAUGCUAUACUGGCACUUUUUUAUUUGUUUCAUGUAUACGGCUUGAAAUGUCUGAAUGGUGGUGGAAACUAGAAGCCUUUCCUCCUUCUGUAGCCUACCAUCCUAGUUAUGUAGCCCUGGGUUGCAUAGCAAGUGUUAAAGCACUGAAUAUGCUGGCAGUGAAUAUCCUUUUGUCGACUAGGUUAAGGUUACCAGAUUUUUUUCAAUGAAUCCGGGGACACUUUUCAACUUCAGCUGAAGAGGAUGGAUUUUGUCAGGGGACUGAUUUGUAAAUCCGGGGACUGUCCCCGGGAAACGGGGACGUCUGGUAACCUUAGACUAGGCUCACAAGGUUCUGGAGCUUUCCUGGUGAAAGGUUCACAGGUCAGUGGUGGGUGGAGUGGAGAACCAGAGGUGCAUUUAUAUAUUGGCAGAAUUAGAGUGGAUGAGUUAAAGGAAUAAAUUAAUCGAGGCAAAUAAGAAGUGCUUAUUUGGAUUUCUCUUCUUCAGAGGAUGCUAGCAGCCCUGAGAACGAACAACCCUGAAACCAGGCAUGCUUUAUUCUUUGCCAUGCAAGGGUGCUUCUUUUUUCAUCAGCUUUUGGCCUAAUGAAAUUGAGUUUGAGUUUUGUCAGGGAGCAACAGAUAGACGUGGGACUUAACGAAAACAAUUGCAGAAAGCUAGGAAGUGGAAGUAAGGUUGAAGGCACCUGAUAUCCGGGAUCAAAUAGCCCCUGAAUAUCUGGUGAAAGAUCUCUUGAGCAUUUAGCACGUGCUCAGCUCUGCUGGAGCUUAAAACUUGUAAGCUAUAAGGAAAGGGCGGGGGGGGGGACUUUGUGCAGCUAUCACUUACCAAAACAGCCUUUUUGUCUUAGCUACCGGUAAUCAUUCACCACUAACUAGGUUUUCUUCGCAAUCACUCCUAUAGAUGUACUCUCUUUUAAUUACUGCAUUAAAAUAUACAGCCACGUGGAUAAGAUCAGGGUUUGUUCUUUUUAAAAAAAGAACAAUUGGAUCUAACAAUGAUGGUGAGGGGAAGAAACCUCCAAAAAAGGAGCCAGAGUAUAUUGAAGAAAAUAUACUGUAUAUUUGGGGUGUUUAUUUAGCCUUGAUCUUACUAAAAGUAGACCCAUUGGGUUAUGUCCAACUCAUCUUUACUGAGAGCAGACCCAUUGAAAUUACUGACCAUGACAAAUUUAGUUCCAUUAAUUUCAAUAGGUCUACUAUGAAUUGAAGUUAGUUGGGCAGGCCGGGUCUUCCUGUUUUAUACCUGCUGGGAUUGACAAGGCAUCUGACCCUCACUUGAAUCUCAUAGCUCUCUUGACAGGUGAUUUGGUCUGCAGCCCCAGUGUGGAAAUAAAGGAGGAAAUUGCCCACAAGAUACCAGGCAGUCUGUUAUUCAAAUUAGGCCCCAGUGUUUUUCUUACAAUCCCCUUCUCAAUGAAUUAAUCAAUUUUAAUCUAGCAUGUAAAUUCUCAAACCUUUCUUAUUUGUUAAUUCAAGCAACUACUGCUCUCACAAGUCCUAGAGUCUGCACUCUGAAUAGUGACACCAGGGACCUAGAAGGUGCAGGGCCUGUCAGUCCAACCCCUGCACAGUCUCAUCAGGGCUGACCUUAAGGCAAUUGGAACAAUUGUGCCAAACUGAGCCCUGCGAGCCGCUCCUAAGGGGCCUCCCGCACUAGGGCAUUCUAGAUGGAUUUUAUCUAUAUCUAUAAGAUUUUGCAGACUUUGGCUGUGAACUGGGACCCAACAAAAAAACAACUAAAGCUGGGCCCCACUUCUUCAAAUUUGGCCCCACUGGCUAGCCCUGAGUCUCAUAGUUGCUGGGCCUGAGUUGCCCUGCCCUUGCAUGAUGGCUUGGGUUUGCAAUUUUGAGAGAGGGGAGACUGCGGCACUGGGGAGAUGGCAGGCUGGUGAGGCCCCCUAGAUUGAGGCCCUAGGCUCUCUACAGCUAUUUCUGCCGAAUAGUAGAAUGUGGCGUCUGUGGUGGGGGGCAGUGGGCGGGUCUCAUUUCUAGGACAUAGAGCUCUUCCCCUUCAUGCAAUUGUAAUUUUUAUUGCCGAAACAGGGGUAAAGUCAGUGGCCACUUGUCAGUUUGGCUCUGAUUCAACCUGUGUUAACCUGAGAAGGCAAAACAUGAGAUAGGAUCAUCUGCAGUUCUUUCCCCUCCAGAGGUUUACAAAAGGGGUGGGGAAGCUGUGGUCCUAAAGAUACGGUUGGACUCCAACUCCCAUCAGUCCCAGUCAGCAUGGCCAAUGGUCUGGGAUGAUGGGAGUUGUAGUAUGGCACCAUCUGGAGGGCCACAGGCAACCUCACUCCUGUUUCAAAGACUGCUUUCUUAGGCAUACAUGGAAAGCAAAUCUCAUAUAUGACAGCGGGACUUACUUCUGAGUAAACAGUCAAACAAUCUCUCUGCACACAUUUUUAAUAGUGUUUUUAUAACAAUAUCAAAGUUAUAAUUAAGCAUACACACAUUCAAAAGCCAAAUUUAAAUAUAUUAAACUUGACACACCUGAUACUUCCAGUUAUACAUAUGGGAACCACGCACUGAAGUAUUACAUUAUUUGUGAAGGCUAAUGAAAUGCAUUCUGGAUGAGCUGGCAAUGGUAAGAUUCUCCAUAGGUGCAACUCAGCAUUGGCUCACUGCUGAAAAAGAGCUGCAUUUAUCCAUGCCAGUAAAAGAAGAAGAAGAAAAACACACACAUUCAAAUACCCAGUCCCAUAAUUCUUGUGCUCCAAAUGUCAAUUAUGAAAUUAAUCUGGCUGGUGUUCACAAAAGCAGUACUACUAAUUGCGGGCUCUGCAGGCAGCAGAAAUCUCAUAGCCUCAACCAUAAUGUAUUACAUAACAUUUGCUUACUUAGAAUAUAAUCACCCUAUCAAUUUCCCUGGAAAUUUGUUCUGUGUCAUUUCCCCCCACUCGUGUCAUCAAUACAGACUUGACAGUGCAGCUGUAAACAAAACAACAAUAUUAAUACAUAUCCAUAACUAAGUAGGAAGAAAGCAACAGUGUGGGGUCUUUACAGGGCGAUUCUGCAUGCGUCUUCUCAGAAGUAAGCUCUACUGAAUUCAAUGGGACUUACUGCCAGGAGAGUGGCGUAUCGGAGUGCAACUUUAAUGCGUUGCAUUUUGAGAUUUCAGAUAGCAUGCAGCUUUCAAACCAUCACUUUGUCUCUUUUGACUGCUGUUCCAGACAUACUUUCCCACCCACCCAGAAACAGAGGCCACGAGAGCUAUUCAGACCUUUCUUCCAACUAGCUCAGUCUGUGCCAGCCUUUUCCAACCAGGUGCUCUGCAGACAAACGCGGUGCUAUGAAACUCCCUGACAACUACUGUGAAAGUUGCUGUGAAGUACCUCGGCAUCAUCUUUGAGAGGCCUUGGCUUGGCUCCACACAUAGUUAACGUCUUUCCUGUUAGACACAGAAGAACAGAAGGAAAAGAAACACAGAACGCAUUGUCUGUCUUAUUAUCAUUACAAGGAAAACACCCAGCAAGGCAGAGCGACUAUGUGUGUGCAGGUGUGUGAGGAGGGGGCAUGUUUCCAAGGAGGCAUGUACGUUGACACAUUGCACCCUCCAUGUGGCCUACCUGUUGAUGAAGUGGUAGAGCAUCUCCUUCUCAUGCUAAAUUGAAGGUCACAGGUUCAGUUCCUAGCAUCUUCGGGUCGGGCUGGGAAUAUACCUUGUCUGAAAUUCUGGGGAGCCACUACCAGAAUGGUAGAGGACAAUACUGAGCUUGCUGGACCAAUGGUCUGACUUGAUAUAAAUCAGCUUCCUGUUAUCAUGUGUGAGCAGGGCUUCACAACGUCACCUACUGCAGUUGUAAUUCCAAGAGCCAGUGUGGUGUGGUGUAGUGGUUAAGAGCGGUAGAUUCGUAAUCUGGUGAACCGGGUUCGCAUCUCCGCUCUUCCACAUGCAGCUGCUGGGUGACCUUGGGCUAGUCACACUUCUUUGAAGUCUCUCAGCCCCACUCACCUCACAGAGUGUUUGUUGUGGGGGAGGAAGGGAAAGGAGAUUGUUAGCCGCUUUGAGACUCCUUCGGGUAGUGACAAAGCGGGAUAUCAAAUCCAAACUUUUCUUCUUCUUCUUCUUCUUCUUCUUCUUCUUCAGGUGAAAGCACAGGCAUUCACAAAUAUGGGAUUACAUAAAGCGGUCAGUGAAGUGGGAGUGGAGGCUAGGCCUGAGCCCAGAAGCAGUUUAGGAAUUCCUGCGUUUACAAUAUCGCUAUCAGCUGGUGGAUGCUGAGCUUAGAACUUGUGCACCUACAGACUUUCCCUUCUGUAGAAAGUGCACCACAGUCUCUGCUGCCCCUCAUUCCAAGGAAACAGAACCAUGGGGCCCCUGGAAUUUUGCACUGCUCGGAGAUUGGGGUACAGUGCAACAGAAGAUGGCAAGAAAAAAGUGCACUGGAGCUCUUUGGAUGGGAGUCACUAGCUUACAUCCAGUCCUAGAAAGGCCUGGUUCUCUCUACUUCUAGGAGGGCUUUUGACCCAGCAGAAGUCUCCACUAAGGAAAGAAAAAGGCAUACACCCCCCCCAUUUCCCCUUCCUCCUACAGCCCCACCCAUGCCACCUUCCACCCUGUCUGGACGGCUGGCCAAUUCUCUAGCGCCAAUAUUUGGGGUAGGUUUUGGGUCCUGCAGGAGGAACCAGCUGCUAGUGGAGGCACCUGCUGCUUCACAAUCUUUCCCUGAGUGCAAAGGCACCAACUGGAUUUCAUCCCAAGUGUACAAAAAACAAUUUGGAGAGGGAGGAAUUGCAAUGCACUUUCAACAUAUAAUAAUGGGUCACUUUUGUGUGCUUGGUGAAAUCCCUUUUUAUGUGCUGUUUCCUCUACCCCAUAGUUGCUCAUGAUGUGAGGAGCCAACUUUUCCCUCCAGCUUUUCCUAUUCAUAUCCCCCCCCCACUUGGCUUCCAAAACCCAUUGUAUCCCAUAGAAAAAAGAACUAAAGCAUACACACAUGCCAAAAAGUCUCUUUUGGCAGAUGAGAGAGGUCGGGGGCUUUUUGUGGAAUCCUCUUUACUUCUUCCAGAAUAAUUUUCUUCUGCAGAUUUUUUUUUUUUUUUUGCCUUUGUGUUUAAAAGAAAAGGGAAAAAAGCCGUUGUGUGUUUAGACUGAAUGACAUCCUUGUUGUACCCCCAGCAAUGAAGACGUUUGGCUCACCUUCAUGUAAUUUAUUCCCUUAGAUUUGCUGAAGAGAGUUCAUUAACUUGGUGUGUUUCUUAAAUUUUUAUUUUAAGAAUACACUCAGGUCAGACUUCGUCGUAUGUCAGGGUUUUGCUUAUUUUUAUGUAUAUAAGAAGAGGCUUCUGAAAACCCAUAGCUUCAAUGAAAUGUAUUGCUAAAUAGAGGGAUCCAGCGCUGUAUUAAAAAACAGGAAAAGAAUCCCUGAGCAAUCUGAACAUUUCCUGCUCCUUAAUUUGAGACACUCAGAAGGUCGCGAACAGGAAACACAAAAGAAAAUGUAAAGUUUAUGCUCACAAGGAAAAGCAAACCCUUUUGAUUUCCUUUGGGAGAAGUGUGUGGAUAUGCAGAAGUCAACUAAAGUCUUGCCAUUUAUGUAAGUUCCCUGUUUCAUUCAUGUAGGCUCCGUGUCCCUGUGGUGGCUUUGGGGUGAGCAACCAGCUGGCCCCCCCAAUUUUGAGGGCCCCCCUUCAAAUCCUGCCUGCCUCCUUUACAGUCAGCUGGUCUCCGUCUGCCUUGUCUUUAACUCAGCAGAAUUAUAGGAAAGCAAGGUCUCCCCCACCUACAAAAACACAGGCAGAGACUUUCAUUCCUUAAGUCAAGCCCACCCACAUCGGAAGUACGUUAGUUCCUUACUUGGGAGCUGUGCUUAUGCCUUUCCCCCUACAUACGCCCAGUUCACUCAGAACAUCGGACGACAGCCAUUUUGUUUUAGUAAGAGGGGGAAGAAUAGAUCCACAAUUUCAUGGGUAUCGUUUAACAAUGAAAUCUCAGCAGAGUGGACAAGAUAGGUUCUUUUAACCCAGGGUCAAAACUAGGCUUUAUUCCACCUGGGUCAAAGACCCAGUUUGGCACCCUCCCCACAAUUUUUUACACACACACACACACACACACACACACACACACACACUGGGAGCCUCACUGGUACCCCUCUGGUGGCUUCAACUGGGGCAAGAAACCCAGCUAGUCCACCCUCCCAUACCUUUGCUUUAACCUUCUCCACCCCUUCAACAAGUGAAUAAACAGGGAAAGGUAGUAAGAUGGGCAGGGUAAUAAUAAUAAUAAUAAUAAUAAUAAUAAUAAUAAUAAUAGAAUAGGAUGUCCCUAUUUUCACUGGAGAAAUGUUGGAGGGUAUGCCAUCUGGACCCUUCUCAGGCAAAAGUGUUUUUUGUUCAUACUGGCCUGAUAAGCUUACUGGCUAUGGCUAGAAUACCGCCCCCCUGCAAAAAGCAGAUUUUUUUUUGCGACAAGAAAAGUGAUGGAAAAGUACAGUGGAAAGUGAAGGGUAAUGACCGCUUGACACUGACAUUGUAUAAGGUCUGUGCAAAUUUUGGAAAAACAAAUCAGGGUGAUUUCUCAACAUACAUUUCAUCUGGAAUUGACCUCCAACUGUAUUUCUGAGGCACUGUAUCCCCAUAAGAGAUUAUGAGUGACAUGCCACUCAGUUUUGCUCUAGAAUAUUUGCAGACAAAUGGGAUAAUGCACUUAUUUUCAUACCACAUUAUAAUUUAUGAGCCAGUCUGUUUCCUUAAUUUUUCCCCCCUGUGAGAGCAGCUUUCUCUAGGAUAAACAGGCUCUUGUUUGCUAACAGCCCAGGACUUUAAAACAUAAUCCUCUAUUUGUUAUGGUGCUAUAUUUAAAUGAGGGAAUAUUACAAUGCCACACACGGAGGAUUACAGCUAUGAAGCAGCUGCCCUAUUUUUUUUAUACUCUUCCAUGCAACUCUUCUUAAAAACUCAUUUUUCAAAAAAUUAAUUAUACUAAUUUUGAAACCAAUCCGUUGGGUUUGAUGAUACAUCUAGCCCUAUUUCCUCCAGUACCCUUUGGGUUGGACCUUACAUUUGGAACAUAACCUUUGGUGUGACCCAGUAUAUCUCAGUGUCGCCUACAGUGCUGACUGCAGGAAAGGAGCACCUGUCAAUUUCCGUUUCUCUCAGUUUCUCAUUUUUCUGACCUUAAGCUCAGUUCUCUACAUUUCCAGUUUGCAAUCCUUUUCUAAAGUCCUUGUGAAAAUCCAGCAGCAUUUUACAGCACAUUUCUCCCAAUGUUUACAUAUUUCUAUGUAAUUUUGCUGCUCCACAACUUCCUCAGGUGCUUCUGUGUGUUCUUGAAUCCAGGCCUGAAGCCAGACUGAAAUGUCAUCCUGAGCCAUGGUAGGCAGCUACACUUCUGGGAGCUGCGGUGGAUUCUUACGCAAUGUAAUAAACAACAACAACAACAACAACAACAAUAUUUAUACCCCACCCAUCUGACUGGGUUUCGCCAGCCACUCUGGGCGGCUUCCAACCGAAUAUUAAAAACAAUACAGUAGUACCUCAGGUUACAUAUGCUUCAGGUUACAUCUGCUAAUCCAGAAAUAGUGCUUCAGGUUAAGAACUUUGCUUCAGGAGGAGAACAGAAAUCGUGCUCCGGCGGUGCGCCGGCAGUGGGAGGCCCCUUUAGCUAAAGUGGUUAAGAACAGUUUCAGGUUAAGAAUGGACCUCCGGAACGUAUUAAGUACUUAACCCGAGGUACCACUGUACAGCGUCAGACAUUAAAAACUUCCCUAAACAGGGCCGUCUUCAGUUGUCUUUUAAAAGUAAAAUAGUUGUUUAUUGCCUUGACAUCUGCUGGGAGGGCGUUCCACAGGGCAGGCACCACUACCCUCUGCCUGCUUCCCUGUAACCUCACUUCUCUCAGCAAGGGAACUGGACCUCAGUGUCCGGGCUGGACGAUGCGGGUGGAGAUGCUCCUUCAGGUAUACAGGACCGAGGCUGUUUAGGGCUUUAAAUAUCAGCACCAACACUUUGAAUUGUGCUUGGAAAUGUACUGGGAGCCAAUGAAGAUCUUUCAGGACCGGUGUUAUAUUGUCUCAGCGGCCACUCCCAGUCACCAGUCUAGCUGCCGCAUUCUGGAUUAAUUGCAGUUUCCGAGUCACCUUCAAAUGUAGCAUCCCUCUUGGGAAUUGCAGGAACACCAGAAUGGUGGCUUCCUAACUUUGUGGAUUUGCCCUUUGGUAAAUUCAGACCAAAUUAAUUUACCAAAUUCUGGUGCUGGAGGAGACUCUUGAGAGUCCCAUGGACUGCAAUAAGAUCAAACCUAUCCAUUCUGAAGGAAAUCAGCCCUGAGGGCUCACUGGAAGGACAGAUCCUGAAGCUGAGGCUCCAAUACUUUGGCCACCUCAUGAGAAGAGAAGACUCCUGGAAAAGACCCUGAUGUUGGGAAAGAUGGAGGGCACCAGGAGAAAGGGACGACAGAGGACGAGAUGGUUGGACAGUGUUCUCGAAGCUAUCAGCAUGAGUUUGACCAAACUGCGGGAGGCAGUGGAAGACAGGAGUGCCUGGUGUGCUCUGGUCCAUGGGGUCACGAAGAGUCGGACAUGACUAAACGACUAAACAACAACAAAUUUAGACCAAAUAAAGCAGGUGGACAGGGAGGUUUCUUCUCAACCACUAGCCUCUCCUGCGAUGCCAGACCCACCGAAAGCUGGCCAUGGAAGCUGGGCGCUGCCUCUAGCCUUGUCAAGAGCUGAUUUAUUUUCAAACCUUUUUUCUUUCAGUCCUCUGAAAACGACGACUUUUGAGGUCACUUAGUGGCUUCAAGUUGUUCAUCUUGUUGUUGAAAGAAAUGGAAAAAUUGUGGAGCGCUUCCUCCAUUGAGUAAUGUUGCUUAGUUAAUGGGUGGGGAAGAGGAAAGACUAUAAGGGGACUCCCCUGUUAAUGUGAACUCUUGCCGUUUUAUGGUGGUUGCACCCUGUAUAGUUAAGGCUGAAGCAGCUGUACCCAUUACAUACUCCUAUUUCAGGGGUUUAUGACUCAGCUGUAAAAAUCUGCUCCAGGCUAAAAGGUAACUGACAGGGUGUUACCCUUGGUGUAGUUAAAUCAGCAACAAGAACCAAAAUGGCAAAAAGAAGACCUCCUGCUCAUUUCCGAAAGCUCCCACAGACAAUUUAAACCAACCUCAUAUUCCAUUAGUUGAUUACAUCUCCUAUCUGUAACCUGACCGAGGAGAAGUGAUAAAUCGUGUAUUUCAGAACAGGUUAUAGGAAAAGAGUGAUUUUUUUUAGCACGAAACAGUCAUUUUGGUUUUACUGACAUGCAAGAACACUGAAUGUACAUUUUACCAGUAUCCAUUGAAAUAACUUGAGUUGGCAUAUGCUCUUUGUCUCCGAUUUGCAAUACACAUAGACCUCCAUACAUAUUAUUGUUCCUUAGGCCUGUAUUGCUUACUUGCCCAUAUAAAUUCACAAGCCCCAUUGGCACAGAAUUGUGCGUGCUAGCACAAGGGUCUGUGUGCAAGGAUGUCAUUGCUACUAUUCCUAAAACCUUGUUGUGUGCCAAAUAAUGUGCUGCUUGUUGCAUAAAACAACAACUUUGAGAGUGGAGUUUUAGGUGUGGAUUUGUUCAGACAGACCAGCUUCCCCCAACCUGGUGGCCUCCCUCCAGUUAUUGUUGAUGUACAACUCCCAUUGUCCCUGACCAUUAGCAGUGCUGGAGCUACACAUUUUGCUAUAAGGGGCAAAUGUCUGCACUGCUGCUGCCCUCUCCCUGAUUUAUUUAUUUAUUUAUUUAUUUAUUUAUUUAUUUAUUUGUGUGUGUUUGUGUGUAUACGUGCAAACACACACACACAACAAUGUUGCCAAAAAUAUUUUUCUUGAUUUGCAUGACUGAUUCAUGUACCUAAAGGAUAACAUUCUUCAUUAAGUAUUUUCCACAAGUAUACAGGUUUUGUGUUAACUGGGGCCACAGUCCUAUACUUGCUUCCUGUUUGUAAGUACAACUGAACUUCCUGGGUUUACUUCUAAGUAGACAUGGCUACUUAGGGACGCGGGUGGCACUGUGGGUUAAACCACAGAGCCUAGGACUUGCUGAUCAGAAGGUUGGCAGAUUGAAUCCCCGCAACGGGGUGAGCUCCCGUUGCUCAAGUCCCUGCUCCUGCUAAUCUAGCAGUUCGAAAGUAUGUAAAAAUGCAAGUAGAUAAAUAGGUACCGCUCCGGCAGGAAGGUAAAUGGCGUUUCCAUGCGCUGCUCUGGUUCGCCAGAAGCGACUUAGUCAUGCUGGCCACAUAACCCGGAAGCUGUACGCCGGUUCUCUCGGCCAGUAAAGCGAGAUGAGCGCCGCAACCCCAGAGUUGUUCGCGACUGGACUUAUCGGUCAGGGGUCCCUUUACCUUUACCUUUAAAUAUGGCUAGGACUCUACUGCACAUGAAAGAGAGGGAGGGAAAGACGAUAUGGUGAAAGGUCAAAAUACUCUUGACUUUCUGUCUUUUAUUCUAGGUUCCCUUACUCAACACAUGGAAAUUUUUGGAGAACGGAAGGCAGAAGCAGAAGGUGAAAAAACUAAAAUCGCAAUUAAAGCUCAAGUCUGGAAAUAAAUGACAAGCGUUACAGUGCCACAGAAGCAAUUGGGACUGGAGAGGGAGGCAAUAGAAACAGGUUUAAAACAACCACCACCACCAAGGACAAAAGAGCAAACCUACUGAUAAG